ensembl:lncRNA
AGCCUGGGUCCUACUACUGGGUUUUCUCUGCCCCUCUCUGAACUUGUUUUCCUUUCUGCAAAGAAUGUAGGCUUUUAAUUUUUGUUUUUUUGGUGGGAGGGUGGGGGGGGUGGGGCUGGGGGAGGUGUCAGGGACCCUUUCUAGACUCCUUCCAGAAAUAUAUGUGUGUUUGAACUUUGCAAACAGUAUCGGGCCUCCUGAAGCUCCCAAAAACUCAGUCCUGGCUUCCAGAUAAGAACUCCUGAACUAGAGGUGGCUGAGAAGCCUUCUGCCUCUGAUAUCUAAGAGUGCCCCAGAGCAAGGGAAAGGCUCCUGUAAGGGCCAUGGGGGCAGAGUUGGGAGGCUCUUAAGCCCGGGAGCAGUGAGGCCUUCUGAGGUGUGGUUUCUUCCUGAACACACCAUCAGGGGUGUGUAAGCAGAAGCUGGAGGCCCCUGGGUGAAAUAAGGAAGGGUUUAUCCAAACGGCAGCUGACCUUCCUAUCCUGGGCCCCCUCUUGCUGCCUCUGCCUGUCCUUGCCUUUCUGUCCCUGAUCCUGGGGGAGGAGGGUCUCAGGGGAUCCUCCAGCACUGGUGACCAACCCCCUCCCACUGAAGCAGCUGAAGACACCACAGACUAGACCCCGCCAGAGGGGCUGGCGCUGCCCCACCCCGCUCUGCCAGCUGACGCCUCCUGCUAAAAACAGCGGGGCCCGGGGGGACUAUGGGCUUUCAGGCCUCCCCCUCCACGUCCCAGCAGGUAUUAAAGAGGCCGAAGCCGGGCCAGGAGGACUGGACACUAUGCUAUUCACCGAGACUGCCCACUUCGCGGUGAAUUUUCUUCUGUCCCGGCGCCCCCGGGUCACGCCCCCGCACCGCCUUGACCAGGAGUUGUGUUUCCGGGGCUGCCGGGGCCCGGCCAUGCCGGCGCCCGCCGCCCACCGCAGCCUGGGCGACUACUGGCUGAGCCCGCAGCGCCGCAGCCCGCCGGGCGCCGCCUGGCGCUGGCCCGCGCGCAACCUACUGCUGCUGCCGGGUACCACCGGGCAGGCGGACUUACCCUCUGCGCGUUGGCCCAGCUGCUACGGCGCGCGCCCGCGCCUCAUGUGAGCGCGCGGGGGCGGGGCGGAAGCCCUGGGAGGGAGGGGCGGUGCCUACGGCAGGGGAGGGGUCUGUGGGAAGGGGCGGAUCCCCAGACGCGAGGGUCGGACAGGGGUUGGACAGGCUGGGCUUGACUGUACCUAGGAGCGGGAGGAGUGGGAGGAACUAGGUGGGAAGGGCGGGGCCUGAAGCGGCUGACCAAGGAAGGGACUAGGCGAAGCGGGCGUAGACUCAGAGGGGGCGGGGAGCCUUGCCGCCGUCCUGUAGGCCCAGUUUUCCCUCCUUCCAGGUGGAAGCACCGGUGGCAGAAUAUUAACUACCAAUAUCUGGGCAAGAGGAAGAGACAUCUAGUUCCCCUGCGCCCGUGAGAGCCGGUGAGGGGCGGGGCCAGAAGAGGGCGCGACCUCGGAGGGGCGGGUCUAGAGGCGGGGCCUGACGGAGGUUGGGGUGGGGAAAGGGUGAUACCCGGGCACGAGGUUAGUCCUCCCUGCCUUACAGGCUCGAGGACCCAGAGGGCUCGAGCCGCAGUGAGAGAGGCCCCGCGGGCCGGGCGUGGGUUUCUUCGGGGUUAUUCAGCCCUGCCCUUCUCAAACCACCACAAACAUUUUUUGGAAAAUUGACAUUCGACUAUAUUAAAAUUUCUGUUCAUCAAAAGACAACAAAAGGAGUAAAAUAGAGUUCCAAAGAGGGCUCUUCAAACAUAAUGCCAACUUGGUGCCCCACGCAGGGAGUGUGGGAACCAGAAUAGGUCAUGCCCUUGGGCACCAACUGGGUCGGUCCCAGGACAGGAGUCACCCCAGCCCCAGGCCUGAUGACCAAACUGAAUGACCUAAGGGAAGCGGCCUGCUUGAAGGACACUGUCCUGUGUGUGUCUGUGUGUGCUUGAUAUUUUGGGGCAUCUCUGAAUGUUUGCAUCACCUCUGAGCAUGUGAGCAUGGCUCUUUUUCUCUGUGUGUCUGUCUAUCCCUGGUCUCUGUGUCCAUUUAUUUCUUCAACAAAUAUUUAUCAAGGGCCUAUUUUAGACGGUUGUGCCAGGUUUAUACUCUGAGUCAUUGAGUUCACAUUGGUGAAAAGAACAGUUGAAGUCCCUGUCCUCAUGGCACUUACAUUCUGGUUGGGAAGACAACAAUAAAAAAGUCAGAGAUAUGGGGACUUCCCUGGUGGUCCAGUAGGUAAAACUCCGUGCUCCCAAUGCAGGGGGCCGAGGUUCGAUCCCUGGUCGGGGAACUAGAUCCCACAUGCAUACCGCAGCUAAGAAGUCUGCAUGCCGCAACUAAGAAUCACGCAUGCCGCAACUGGAAGAUCCUGCAUGCCACAAUGAAGAUCCUGCGUGCCACAACUAAGACCCGGCGAAGCCAAAAUAAAUAAA